UACGUAGGGGGCAAGCGUUGUCCGGAAUCAUUGGGCGUAAAGAGCGUGUAGGCGGCCCGAUAAGUCCGCUGUGAAAGUCCAGGGCUCAACCCUGGGAUGCCGGUGGAUACUGUCGGGCUCGAGUCCGGAAGAGGAGUGUGGAAUUCCUGGUGUAGCGGUGAAAUGCGCAGAUAUCAGGAGGAACACCAAUGGCGAAGGCAGCACUCUGGGACGUGACUGACGCUGAGACACGAAAGCGUGGGGAGCAAACAGG
rnacentral:rRNA from 1 species